rnacentral:rRNA from 1 species
GAUGAACGCUGGCGGCGUGCUUAACACAUGCAAGUCGAACGGGAUCCAAGAAGUGCUUGCACUUUUUGGUGAGAGUGGCGAACGGGUGAGUAACACGUGAGUAACCUGUCCUUUUCUUUGGGAUAAGCAUCCGAAAGGGUGUUUAAUACCUUAUGUUCUGUCUGCCUCGCAUGGGGUGGGUGGGAAAGAUUUUUUCGGUAAAGGGUGGGCUCGCGGUCUAUCAGCUUGUUGGUGGGGUGAUGGCCUACCAAGGCUUUGACGGGUAGCCGGCCUGAGAGGGUGGUCGGUCACAUUGGGACUGAGAUACGGCCCAGACUCCCGCGGGAGGCAGCAGUGGGGGAUAUUGCACAAUGGGCGAAAGCCUGAUGCAGCGACCCCCCGUGGGGGAUGAAAGCCUUCCGGUUGUAAACUUCUUUUGCUCUGAACAAAGGGCACCCUGGGGUGUGUUGGGUGUAGGGGGGUAGUAUAGGGCAGAAACCUAUUGACGGCCGCCGGGUUAAAAAAAGGGGCAGC